rnacentral:rRNA from 1 species
ACGAACGCUGGCGGCAUGCCUAACACAUGCAAGUCGAACGCUAUCUUUGAUAGAGUGGCGCACGGGUGAGUAACGCGUGGGAACCUGCCUUUCACUGCGGGACAACGGUUGGAAACGACCGCUAAUACCGCAUACGCCCUACGGGGGAAAGAUUUAUCGGUGAAAGAGGGGCCCGCGUCUGAUUAGCUUGUUGGUAGGGUAAUGGCCUACCAAGGCGACGAUCGGUAGCUGGUCUGAGAGGAUGAUCAGCCACACUGGGAGUGAGACACGGCCCAGACUCCUACGGGAGGCAGCAGUGGGGAAUAUUGGACAAUGGGGGCAACCCUGAUCCAGCAAUGCCGCGUGUGUGAUGAAGGCCUUAGGGUUGUAAAGCACUUUCACUGGUGAAGAUGAUGACGGUAACCAGAGAAGAAGCCCCGGCUAACUUCGUGCCAGCAGCCGCGGUAAUACGAAGGGGGCGAGCGUUGUUCGGAAUUACUGGGCGUAAAGGGCGCGUAGGCGGUCUUUUAAGUUAGGCGUGAAAGCCCCGGGCUCAACCUGGGAAUUGCGCUUAAGACUGGAAGACUAGAAAACGGAAGAGGGUAGUGGAAUUCCCAGUGUAGAGGUGA